CUUGUCUCUUUAGGGCCUCACCUACAGCAUAUGGAGGUUCCCAGGCUAGGGGGCGAACUGGAGCUGUAGCCGCAGGCCUACGCAGCAGCCACAGCAACACACGAUCCGAGCCCUGUCUGUGACCUAAAUUACAGUUGAUGGCAACGCCGGAUCCUUAACCCACUGAGCGAGGCCAGGGGUCAAACCCACAUCCCUAUGGAUGCUAGUUGAGUUCAUUAACUGCUGAGCCACGACGGAAACUCCGGAUUUUAUAUAGCCUGAAUGGGUCCCAGCCGGCAAGGUUCCCUAACAUAGGACUUGCAUAGGUCCAGGUUCUUCCUUAGGGCCAUAAAAGCCAGAACCGAAGGAAUUUCUGUCCAUUUUCCUUGCCUUUUGCAAAAAAUAUCUAGCUGUAGGAUGGCAUUAUAGUUGAAGCUUCCAUAUUCUGGGCAGACCUCAUCAUCCUCAAGUUUAUAUCAGGGUCAGGCUGUGUUACAAAAGAUAAAAAGCUUUUCUCUCAUUUUAAAGAAUCUAGAGGAAGCUUGUCCCAGUGACUAAGAAUGCACCCGAGGAGUGAGUCCUUGGGGAUGGCAUUGUUCCUUCAGGGAGAGGCUACUCCUGUGACAGAGAGGAGCACUAGCUUUAGGAGGUCUGGUGAGGGCUUCCUGAGACAGGACUGGUUCCAGGUGCCCUGUCCACCUAGUCUGGUCCAUCCUAGCCACAGUGGGGGUCAGCUACUUCCCCAUGUGGCAGCCCUUGGGGUCUGUGUCCUAUCCUGGCAUCCAUGGAACCUAGGGUGUGUGACCUUCCUGACAGCUCCUCUAUGGAUUCUAUGGCCAGUGAUUAACCCCUGUGUUCUGGGGUAUAUUCCCUGGAAUAUGCAUCCUCAUAAUUCUAGGACCUAUUUAGGUUCCAGGGUGUUUUUUUUUUUUUUUCCUUUCAUUUUUUUUUAAAGUUUUAUUAAAGUACAGUUGCUUUACAAGGUUGUGAUACUUUCUGCUGUACAACAAAGUGAUUCAGUUAUACAUGUACACACAUUCGUUCUUUUUCAGAUUCUUUUCCCACAUACACCAUCACAGAAUAUUGGGUAGAGUUCUCUGUGCCAUACAGUAGGUGUCCCCCCAUCCCCCACCCCAGGCCAAUCAGUUAUUUUCUUUACAUGGUGUUAAGUUGCUGAAAAUAGGUACCAGACAUUAAGGGCGUUGGUUUGUGAAAGGCCCCUCUUUUCCCCUCCCUUCCUCCGUGCCUCUCCCUCCAUCUCUUCCCAUCCCUCCCCCCAACCAGCAGGCACUGGUGCUCCACACAGGGAGCAGUGAGGGCUGCGGUGAUCCAAGGCAGAGGCACCUUACUGCACUUAGAGGGAUGGACCGCCCAGGAGGCCCUGGGGGGGGGGGGUCGCUGCCAAUCAUGUCGUCCCAGGAGAGCAGGCAGACGCUGGUCAAAGCUGGGGGCGGGUGUUGGGGCGUGGCCACGUGCGUGACCCCACGCAAGUCGGCAGCAGGCUACCGGCCGGGGAGGAAAGGACAGUGGAAACGGUAGUGAACCUUAAGGGGCCGGGCCAGGUACCGGGCAGCACAUACGCAGUCCCCCACCACCCUGGGUCCGAACUGCUUGGCGCAGGACCAUUCACCCUCCUGAAACUCAUACGCUGCAGGGAUCCAUGCCCGGGAGCUUCAGAAGGAACCAGGCCAUUGCUAAGUAAGCCUGCAUUUUGUAUUUCCACACAAUAGAACCUGAUGGCAGUUACCUAAAUGGCAGGUAAGGCCAGGCAGGAGGCACAGCUCCUGUGUUUGGUCCAGAGCAGGCAGUGAGGAUGCCUGAAAACUUUCCGUGACUUUUUCUGUACAGGUAUAACAGUGAGAAGUGCCGGACUUAGUGGUGAGGUUGGAAAUGCUUGGCAGAUUUCUUUUGUCUACUGCAGGUGGAGUAAGGCAAAGAAGGUAAGAGUGGAAAGAUAGAGUGAGAUAGGGAUGGAUAAAGAAAGCCAAAGAGAGAGACAAUAAUGGCGGCAGUCAGGCAGCGCCUCUCAAAGGCAAGGGAGGUGAAAACCUGAGGUUUAUUGAAUUGCCCAGGUGACUCCCGUAAAGAUGGUACUGAGGCAGAAUAAUAAUUGAGGUAGUUAAGUAACAGAGACUCAGUUAUUAUCUUCUUGCAGACAGGAUUCAGAGAAAAGACAGGGAGGAGGUUAAGAAAGCAAAGUGAGGACUGAUUUAAGUGCUAAGGACCCUCUCCAGGUACUGCUCUGGCACGUGGGUUAUGUGGGGUGUGGAAAUGAAGGAGAGGAGGAUUCAUUGGGAAAGGAGAGGUUUGGGGAUUGUAUUUCCUGAUUUUCGUCCCAACUCCACCUUCCCAACGGUAGGAGGGAUUUUUGUCCUUCUUUAGGGGAGUGUCCUGGCCUUGGUGCAUAAUGGGAAAUUCUUAUCUACGAGGCUAAUUUUUUUGUAAUGAGGGCAUAAUGAGCAACAGGUUACAUUCUGAUGCUGGAGAUCCAUGCCUUUUUCUACCUUUCUUUGCCUCUAGGACGCUUAACACCCUAAGAUGUGUGGUUUCCUGCCACCUGGCCCCUCUCUCCUCACCCCUUCUCUGCUCAUACCUAGCUAUCUGUCUGCUGUAACACUUUUAUAGUGUCAUCUUUGAUGGUUAAUAUGACUGAAAACCUAUGAUUUGAUUAUUGUUGGGUAACCGUACCUUUUAGAGCUGGUUUAUAUUUACAUUCUGACAACAGUUCAUAAGCAGGCUUUAAGUUGUUACUACUCUUAUCUAAGUAUUCAUCAUGAGAAUAUAUAUUUUACUUAAUCUUGAGUCUAUUAAUACAUUCUCCAUCCAUUCCAACUUUAGAGAACUGUGUUUUUAUAAAAUCUGUUGAUUAAUUUAAGGUGACGUGCUCUUUGAUGUUAAAGGUGCUUCUUCACAAUGAAUUUUGAAAGAUUGAGUUAACUGCCUACAGUAUGUCAAGUAUUAUUUUAACUCUGAGAACUGUGGAAAUCUUGGUGCAUAAAGACUAUAUCCAGACUUCUGCACUGAUUGAUGAUCAAACUCUAGCCUGCCUUCUAGAAGCAUAAGGUUGUGUCCCUCCCCCUCCAACCUGCUUAUACGUGUCUGCUCAAGAAAGUUCACCACUGCCAGGACAAUUUGCUCUCUGUUCUAGCUAAUGCUGGAUGAUAGGCCCCUGACCUCUCUUUUUUAGAGUAAUUGGUAAAAAGGGCUUACAAAUAUGAAUACACAUACGUAUCUCUUACAAUUCAGGAGUAUCUCUUUCCAGGUCCUAAAAUUCAUUCUUUUGAAAAAUAAUCAUCAGAAAAGAAAGGGCCUUCUGUCCCCCAGUCUCUGUAGGGGUAGGAUUUUAACUUCCAGGACUGCCAGCUGGCAGACAACAGCUGACCUAAACACAUUUACUCUAACUAACCAUUUGCAGUUUUUCAUUUCCCUGAUUUCACCUCUCCUGCUUUCCCUUCCUCCUAUUUCUUCAUUUUUUUGUAUGGAAAUGCUCAGUCAUCUCUGAGCCAAUCAGAAUGGUGCUCAGUUCUUUCCUGGACUGUUCCCAGGUACUGAAUAGAACCUAUUUUUAACCGCCUUAAUUAAUGAAUGGCUUUCUUUAUAUUUGACAACUCAGCAUUCAAAAUGAUUUCUGAUGGAAGUUAUCCCCAUUCCACAGAUGAACAAGCAGAGGCUCAAAGGAAUUAACUACCCCAAGAUCACUCUAUCUAGAUUUUGGCAGACCUGAGGUUUGAACCUAGAUUCGUUUGGUUCUAAAUUAUGUCUUUUUAAAAUAUUUUUUAUCUGCAAUAAUAGUCAUUAAUGUGUAUCUUAAAGUGGCAGUGGAAAAGAUUUAUCUUCAUUCCACCUAUGCCCUUGCUUAGUAACUGUCUGAAAUACCUAAGAUAUAUAAGACCUCCUCUCAGACAUGAUAAAUGCAAACUAAAAUAAACAGUCAUUGACUUUAAAUAAGAGUCUGGAUUCUGUCUAGGAGUAAACAAGCCAACAGUUACCAGGAAGUGUUUUCAAUUAUUUCAACUGAGGAAAUUUAAAAAUUAGAUUUGACAAAUCUUGGAAUUAAAAGUAAGAAACAUCAGAAAAGAGCCAUUAGAAAUUUGGACUUGCUUUACAAAUUAAAAUUUAUUCGGAACUUAGGGCAUUUAUCAUUUCUAGUCAAACUGAGUUUACUGGCUCUAGUCAAUCUGUGACUUUGACCUCGUAGCCUAAACCAGUUUUCAUUCCUUGUUCUGUGCUGGUCUCAGACUAUCGGUAACCAGUGUCGUGGUUCUUGUGAUUGGAAGAUGUGCUUUAGAAAUAACCACUAGGAAACACUGAAAAAAAAAUUAGGUUUAUUAUUUUCAAGACCUGAAACUUCUACAGCAUGACGGGGGCCUGUAGACUUAGAAAAACUGCAUGUUGUAAAAGCUAUGAGUUGAGUUUAUUCACUGUCUUCCUGAGGACCGUAGCCCUGGAGACAGCCUCUCAGGCAGCCCUGAGAAACUGUUCUAUAGACAGAAGGGAAGAAGAGGUCAGUAUAUAAGUGAUUUUGAGAAAGAGUGCAGAGCCUGGGGUUCGGUUUUUAUUGGAGUUGAGACCUAGGGCUUCCAGGGUUCAUUUGCCUUGAUUUUAAAACAUAAGAGCAGCAGUUUAAAGCUUUGGGGGGGGGGAAGUAGCCCAAAUGGUGUGUUAUUGAAAUCAACCAAGAUCUUAAACAAAGGAGCCUCACUGGGGGGAGGUGCUCUCACUGUUUAUCUAGUUGUUUGGGGGCAAUGUCUUAAUGGAGAUCACCAUCACGAAAGUGACACCUCUUUGAAAUGGAUACUAAGGCAAUCAAAGCUCAAGUCAGGCACUUGCAUACAAAACUCACACACACACACACACAGAGCUUACACUACACUUUUGUCAUCUUCCAACUGUUUAAAUAGGCUUAGCACAUUUUUCAUCAAUCAAAAAUAAUCUUAGAAAAGUGUCACUCAUUUAUUCCUUAAGGUGACUAAAUCACCUUACUUAUCUGAGCUUCUCUUCCCUGUAAAAUCUUACUCUAAACGUUUCCUGCAAUUUAUAAGAAAGGGUGGGUAACACCUAUCCUCAGAAUUUCAUCCAUCAUUAGAAGUAGGAGAGAAUGGGGUAGGUAAAGGGUGAGAGAUUAAAAAGAAACAACAAGGUAUAGCCUAGAGACUCUGGGAGCAAUAGGCAUGUUUCUGUCUUAAUGUUCUUGAAAUCAAAUCCAAGUCUUGCAUAAUCCCAUCCGCCUCUCAGUGGUAUAGAACUGUCAGUUGAAAUUAUAGGGGUGGAGCUGUAUUUGCCAUUUGAAAGCAACCUCAAAUCAGAAUAUCUAGAACCCUCCUUCAAGAGUCCACUGUUUCCAUCCUGUGAUGCCAAUGAAACAUCACCCCAAUAUUAAAUAAUGCAAUAAGGACAGCCAGCUCUGAUGGUUUUGGCAUUCAUCACAAAUCUGUCACCAUGAAGCGCCUCAGACUUAGGAACAGAUAACUCAGUCCCAUCUGGCUCCAUUUUCCUUCACUGCAGAAAAAAUACAAUUAACCUCAUUCUGAUUGUUUUACCUGUAAUGAUAAAAGCACUCUACACAUUAUGAUUCUGAAACAUGUGUUUAAUUACUUAAUUAGAGGAUGGAAAACUGCAGUAGUUAGUUAACAGCAAGGCAAAGAGAGAAAAAAACAGGAAAGACAAGGAUGUUUAGUGAAAUAGCCCCACGUUUGAAUGAGAUGGUUUAGUGUGAUCAUUUAAUGUCAAGCAAUUAGCUUACUUACAUGAGAGAGAACUGAAAAAUUAAUUCUAGUUCAAAUAGUGGCUAAAAAAACCUUCCUGGAAUUUUAAAGAAUGGACAAAUGAUGUAUGGCUUAUCUGAAAUAUCAGGUGCAAUGUCAGGCACUCUAACCCUUUAGGAAGAAAGUAU
rnacentral:lncRNA from 1 species